UUUCCCUAGUGAAAAAGCAAACACACACACGGUCAGCAGCCUGGGCGCACCCACCGUGACACAGCCUUCCAGUGAGGGACGGUGCCCAACACCUGAGCACUGGAAAGGCAUAGCAUUGUCAUAAGGGCAUAGCCCUCCGAAGAGAGACAGAUAACAUUUGGUUGGCGAGACAGUAGGAACAUUCUCAUGUCCACAGAAUGUUGGCAGGAUGCCGUCGUAUGCAUGCAUUUGUUUUAAACUCUGCAGGGGGAGCAGUUUCCAAAAGGCUAAGGGUGCUAGGCAGAGCAGUCAUCCACCCAGCAGUAAAUGUAGAUCAAGAAAAAAUAAAAAGAUGCCAGAUGGCAGAAUGAUGUUUGCUCAAAAUGAAGAAGACAAAAAGGGCAAAAUAACAGAAUUUUGUUUUACUUUAAAACUUUAAAAUGUGUUGUUUCAAGCCUCCUCUGGCAGAUGGACCCAAACAGGGGUUUGAUUUCCCAGCAAGGAGACAAAUGCUGUUCUCAGCUAGACCUUUCUCCCUUUUCCCAGGCUUCCUGCUGCUGAUUCAGGGGGUGAGAAACUAGAAAUGUAAAUUAACUACAAGUUAGAAAGCCCAGUUGUGAGGAGCAAAGUUCCCAACGGACUUAAAAGUGAAAGCAAAGAGGAGAAGAAUCCCGAUGGGAAAUAAACAAGCUGCGAGAUAACACGUGAGUCGCCUGGGAUCGGGAGAAAAACUCCCCACGAGGUACUAAGGGCUCUGCUGGGCAUCUUCUGUUAACAUUAGGUUUAAAAUUCCCAUGGCUGCUUAUGGAGGAGAAGUGUAAUGACCUCCUUUAACAUGCGAGGAAACCGAGACUGGGAGAGGCAGAGAAGCUGCCCAGUGCCCAUCGAUGUGAAGAACCAUGCAAAUUCAAGACACAUACGAAUCUAGGCACCGAAGGAGGAGGCUGGAGAGCAGGAUUCGUGGCUGCAGCCGCCAACUGACAGCAUCCAGGAAUUUGGCACAGCAAGGGAGGGGGCCCCAGGGACAGAAGGCCCCUUUCUCCCACGUGCAGCUCUGCUCCUGAGCCCAUCAAAAUUCAGCCAUUCCAGUGAUCCGUCUCUGAUUAGUUUGUUCACGAGGCCUUAGACCAGUGGCUUCCAACGCUGGCUGCAUUUCAGAAUCACCUGGGGAACUUUCUAAAAAUCACCAAGACUCUGGCUUCCCCACAGACCUCCUGAGGCAAAAGUGCUAUGCGUGUGAGUCUCUGAGGUGCAGCCAGGCUGAGACCCCCUGGCCAGGGACAUCCUGUGCAUUCUGUGAGUAGACUAGCAUUUGAUCCAGCACCUUGGACUUCUUCCUUUUGAAAACCACACGGCGGGGGUGGCGGUGGGGGGUGUUGGAAAUCUUCCUAAGGCAGGAUCAAAGCAGAUCAUUUAUUCAUUGUUUUGCUCUAUUGUUUUGGACUUUUUGUUAUGUGGUAAACUUCUUUCAUUGUAUCACCGAUUCUGUAACUGAAACGCUCUUCGAUGUGCUUAAGCAAAUCUCUUUACUAUUAGAUCAGGAGUUUCUUGCCAGGUACUCCUCCCCUCAAAUUCUCCUUUGAGAAUCCUAAUUUCUGAUUUGUAUCUGAUCUAGCAUACCUGUGGCAACCUGCCCUUUUCACCAGAGAUACUUCCAGUUGGUGAAAGCCAUGUUUCCUCAUACGGUGAAGGUUGUAGCUGCCUACCCAGGAUCAGUUCCCUUCCUCCUUCUCACAGAACCCUCGUACUUCUUGGCUG